rnacentral:rRNA from 1 species
AUUGAACGCUGGCGGCAUGCCUUACACAUGCAAGUCGAACGGUAACAGGUCUUCGGAUGCUGACGAAUGGCGAACGGGUGAGUAAUACAUCGGAACGUGCCUAGUAGUGGGGGAUAACUACUCGAAAGAGUGGCUAAUACCGCAUGAGAUCUACGGAUGAAAGCAGGGGAUCGCAAGACCUUGUGCUACUAGAGCGGCCGAUGGCAGAUUAGGUAGUUGGUGGGAUAAAAGCUUACCAAGCCGACGAUCUGUAGCUGGUCUGAGAGGACGAUCAGCCACACUGGGACUGAGACACGGCCCAGACUCCUACGGGAGGCAGCAGUGGGGAAUUUUGGACAAUGGGCGAAAGCCUGAUCCAGCAAUGCCGCGUGCAGGAUGAAGGCCUUCGGGUUGUAAACUGCUUUUGUACGGAACGAAAAGCCCCGGGUUAAUACCCUGGGGUCAUGACGGUACUGUAAGAAUAAGCACCGGCUAACUACGUGCCAGCCGCCGCGGUAA